rnacentral:rRNA from 1 species
CCUACGGGAGGCAGCAGUGGGGAAUAUUGCACAAUGGGGGAAACCCUGAUGCAGCAACGCCGCGUGAGUGAAGAAGUAUUUCGGUAUGUAAAGCUCUAUCGUCAGGGAAGAAGGUGACUGUACCUGAAUGAGAAGCCCCGGCUAACUACUUGCCAGCAGCCGCGGUAAUACGUAGGGGGCAAGCGUUAUCCAGAUUUACUGUGGGGAAAGGGAGCGGAGACGGCAGUGCAAGGCUGGAGUGAAAGCCCAGGGCCCAAACCCGGGAAUGCUCUGGAAACUGUGCGGCUAGAGUACUGGAGGGGACGGCGGAAUUCCUAGUGUAGCGGUGAAAUGCGUAGAUAUUAGGAGGAACACCAGUGGCGAAGGCGGCCGGCUGGACAGUAACUGACGUUGAGGCUCGAAAGCGUGGGGAGCAAACAGGAUUAGAUACCCCUGUAGUC